GAAGACUUCUGCUCCUCCAAUCACAGAAACAACUUAAUUAUUCUGGACUCUAUUCCCUAGGACCGUUUUACAUCACGUCUUCCGAUGAGACUUCAUCUCAUGAAGAUCCACCACCUGUCUCUAUGUGUGACUGAUGGUAUGAAUAUGCGUAACAGUGACAAGUGCUGGACUGGAAUCAUCCAACGUUGUAUCUCACCGGGCACUCAAUCCGAUUUUACCUGAGAGGUUCUGAAUGGAUCCAUGACCCUGAAUAAAAUAAAGCGCUUACAUAAGAUGACUGCAUGAACAGUCUUGUGUAGCCAGGAGUCUAGGGGCCAUUUCUACAAAUUUCAGUCUUUCUACACUUGACAUGGAUCAUUCACUUAUAUAAAUCACUGAAUAACUUUUCUUCAGCAAGUAAGAAUCUUGCACAAAGCAAUAAGCUUUUUUAGUUUUUAAAUACAAGACAAAAACAAUUACUUCUCGAAAUAGUCUCUUUUUCUUAAACAAUUAGUAAAUGAAUAGUAAAAAACAAACUAACAUUUUUGUAAUAAAUAUUUCACAGUCACUUUCAGUCUUCUAAGAAAGCUUAAGAUCAUCCACAUCUUCCUGGCACCACUCAAGUAUACAAAGGGAACUAAAAGUUAAAAUCAUCUUGGGCUCAUAGCACAGUUAUUGAGCCAUCAAAGAGAAAGCACAAAUUCUACAAGAUCCACAAAACCAGUUUAACCAUGAGAUGGUUUUCUUGGUUACUCUAUGGAAGCAAAUCAUUCUUAAGGAACAGUUAUCGGCAUUUGGUGUAAUUUUCACCCGUUCUCAAACACUGUUUUUACAAACACUUUUCUGCACCACCUCCAAUAUUCCGGUGCUCCCAAGCCACUAUUUUUAGGAAGCAAAUAUAAGCUCAGGACCUUGGACAGCAGCCAAGACACUCCAUAACAUAGCAUCUUUACCUGUAACUAACAGUGAAGCACUGAAAAGACCAAACAUGAAAUAAAGCUGGUGUUCAUAUUAGUAACAUAGUUUUGUUGAAGUUCCACAUUGUGUAUGGUUGUAACUGAUGUUACAUCAUACAUUUAAAAGCUGAACAUGCACACACAGGAUAGAGGAAAGAGAAGCAGAAUGCAAUGUACCUACUAAAGUAUCAAACAGGAGCGAGCAAUAAAGAACAGAUGGCUAACAGCAAGUUUAUUUUGGUUAGAAUAAUCGAUACAUAAAGCACGUCCUGAGGGAGUGAGGAGUGAAAUAUGUCGUUUUGCCAUGGUGAGUUGUAAAAGUGGUGAAGUGAUAGAAGUGGAAUUGUGGGUAAUGGAAGUGCAUAGGGGGAAAAAUGUGAAUGAAGAAGAAUAAAAGGGAACAAUUACAAGUCAGCCAUAAGAAUCAGCAUAGAAUUGAAAUAGAAUUACUGUAUAGUCCAGAGCACAGCAAAGAGCCUCAAUGUAAAGUGGCUCAAAGAAAAGGGAGAGAGAGAAAGACAGAGAAACACUCCAGAGAAAAGGAGAUGUGACACCUGGCAAACCCCAUUUAAACACCUCCACUGCUUAGCACUAUUAAGAUUUGCUCUGCUUUUAGUUAAUUUAGUCAAAAAGGAAAGAAAGAAAAAAAAAAAGGCACAAUGAAUUCCAACUCGUUCAUCUUUAAUAUGCACAGGAGUUGAAAAAAAUACAGAUGAGCCACCUUAAAGAGUGUUUAAAUGGUAAAAUUUAUAAAAAGAUACAAACAAUCGGAGGCCAAAAUGCGAUCUGUCGCAGUUUUUUUUUUUCCAUUGAUUUUUUUUCUCAAUCUUUUCUUCAGCAAGUAAAAAUCUUGCAACCAGCAAUAAGCUUGUAUCCAUUUCUGAUACAAGACAAAAAAUUUUAUUCUUUAAAGUGGCUCGUUUUUUCUUAAAUAAGUGUCUACAUAAGUUCAUGAUAUUCACACCUAUGCAGGCCUUUGUUCAUCAAUAAUAAAUGAAUAAUUAAAAAAACAAAAAACACCAGGGCUGCCAUUUGCCAAAUCCUCUUCAUCAGUAGUCUGCAGCCAAACCACCACUACAUUAGUCCAAAUGUAAAUGUUUUCAAUACAUCCCUUUACAGUUGUAUUGUACUGUCUGUUCACAACAGUUAGAAAGCUCAUUGCAACACAAUUAUUUGCCCUCACAAAAAAAAAAGUACAUUUUAAAACAAAGACAAAAAAAAAAGGCCCCAAUUAACUGUGAAUCAGUAACACAAUGUUGUUGUUAUUGUUCAGAAGUGUCCUGUCAAACGUCUAACGUGUUGCAGCUUUUUCGGUUUCAUACUUUACACAAGUUUUUUUUUUUUUUUUUUUUUUAAGUUUGAACAUUUGUGUUUUGUAGCAAAUAAAUCUACCAAACAGAAACAGCCAGGAGCUCCAUCUUCCAUUGCUUAUGAAUACAUUAAGCGAAUGUCGCUUUCCAAAGAUGCCAAAAUAAUAAUAUUUAUAUAGGGACGACAAAAGUGUGCAUAUAAGACUGAAUCAAAGCUGCAAAUCUGGAAGCUCCACCACAGAAAAGAAACAAAAUAUAAAUCACAGUUCAUAAUAACUUCUGCAAAGUUCUCUUUGUUGAUGAGUUAAGCCUACUUUUAUUUUAAACUUAGAGAAAAUAUACUCUCUCCUUGUGUGUUAGUGGGAGAGACAUGACAACUUUUUGAUGUUUGUCCUGGGUUGACCUUAUGUGGUUAUGAAGAUGUAAAAAAAAAUUAUUUUUACUGAAAGAAUUACUUAUCUUCAAGUGUGUGAUACUGGAAAAGAAAAAACAAAUCCAGAACCUCAUUUGUCGUUCCACAAACACUUCGAAAAGGGACAGUGGCAUCCCUCAAAAUGUCUUGAAUUUAUGCCUUAAGUGUAAUGAAUCCACUCGUUCCUCUUUUCACAUGGCACCGGUGACACGUGAAGAUUAUACUUUUUUUUUCUUUUGGGAUGGCUGCAGGUUAAGUGGCGCCACUGUACAUGUGUAUUGUUUUGUGCAUUUUUUUUUUUUGUAUUUUGUGUUAUUUUCCCACUUUUAAUAUACAGGUCACAGUUCCAUGAUCACGUCAUAAAAACAGAAAGAGAAGAAUCAGUGCUAGCGUACAUGCUUUGCACACAAUUAAAAAAAAAAAAAGAACCCCGCUUGCUGGAUGAACUGCUCCACAGACUAGUCCAUAGACACAUCGGAGAAAGGGGAAGCAUGUUCCACAUGGCUUAGCAGAGCAGAGGCUGGAUGUCAAUGCAGGGUGCCUGUCCUAGCGCUCUAGAAUCUACAUUGACUUUGGGCUGUGAUGUCCUGGUAAGAGAAAUUUGCCAGAAGGAAAGAAAUAAUAAACAACCAAAAAAAAAAAAAA